rnacentral:lncRNA from 1 species
GUGUUUCAGAUUCAGGAUAAACAAGAUAGACAAGCCUUGUUCCUGCCCUUAAGAAGCCCAGGACGAGGAAUACAGACAAAUAACACAUUAUUGAAAUGCCCUGAUAAGUGCUUUUCAUAGAUAAUACUAUGGAAUUACAGAGGAGGGGCACUUAAUCCAGACUGGGAGGGGCAUAAAAGGUAUCCUUGAAGAAAUCAUAGCUAAACUUGCUAUCCAGGAAAAACUUGUGAGAAAUUUUGUUAGGAUGUUUCAGCUGCAAGUAACAACAAACCUUAACUCAAUUGGUUUCAACCAUAGAGGAAUGCACUACUUCCCAUAACAAGAAGUUCUACAUUGGGACCACACCACUCCAGGAUUGAUUCAUUCAAUGGCUCAUAAAUCUGCCAUCCUCAGGACCCAGUGAUGUCCAAGGACUGAAAAGGAUUGUGUGUCUCUACUUAUUAGCUUGAGAAACCUUGCCAGAGGUCCUUGGACGCUUUCUACCUAUUUGCCCAAAUUAGAUAUAUCCCUGGCAAGGUGAAUGAGUGCCUUAGAUCAGUCCCAAUUCCCUUCUGUAGGCCUGAAGCUAGAGAGACUUAGCAGGAAGAUGGAACUUACCCAAAAGUAGAGCUCUGCCAGCAUGGGAAAAAGGAAAAGUGCCUGCAACAGGAAAAACAACAAAGAGAGAGAGGUGGAGAGGAACACGCCAAAGAAAGAGAGAGAGCCCACACUAUCCUAAGCUCCUGAAUGCACUGUGACAUCCAGGUGUCCUGGGGAAGACAUAAACACAUCAUACAGCACCCACAGGAACUUCAAGAGACUGGAGUUAAUAAAGAGAUUAAAGAGAUUAACAGGGGCUCAAUUCUUUUUCUUUCUUUCUUUCUUUUUUUUAGGGGGGAGGGUGGGGGGUUGGGGGUCUGAGUCUCACUCUGUCGCCCAGGCUGGAGUGCAGUGGCACGAUCUUGGCUCACUGCAACCUCCACCUCCCUGGUUCAAGUAAUUCCCCUGCCUCAGCCUCCCGAGUAGCUGGGAUUACAGGCGCAUGCCACCAGGCCUGGCCAAUUUUUUUGUAUUUUUUUUUGGUAGAGACGGAGUUUCACCAUGUUGGCCAGACUAGUCUCGAACUCCUGACCUCAGGCAAUCAGCCCACCUCAGCCUUCCAAAGUACUGGGAUUACAGGCGUGAGCCACUGCACCCAGCCCUCAAUUCUUAUAUUCGAGUGCAUGAACUUUUAUGUUAGAGUCAGUAAUAAUCUGGCCUGAUGAAGUACCUUUCCAAAUAAUUGGUAUAAAAUCUGUCCCAAGAGUAUAGUCCAUUCUCUUUACAAUAUUUGCUCAUUGAACAAUUGGAGAAAUUGUUUCUAUGUUUGAUCUCAAUCAUAGCAAAGUAAGCAAGGAUGGAUCUCUAUGGACAACCUGCUUUUAUGCAAAGCAGCCUUCUUAUGAAGAAAUGGGGGCUGGGUGUGGUGGCUCAUACCUGCAAUCCCAGCACAUUGGGAGGCCAAGGCAGGAGGAUCACUUGAGUCCAGAAGUUUGAGACCAGCCUGGGCAACAUAGGGAGACCUCGUCUCUAGAAAACAUUUAAAAAUUAGAUGGGCAUGGUGGCAUGCACUUGUGGUCUCAGCUACUCAGGAGGCUGAGGGGGAGGAAUGCUUGAGCCCAGGAGGUUGAGGCUGCAGUGAGCUGUGAUCAUGCCACUGCAUUCCAGACUGGGAAACAGAGUGAGACUUUAUUUCAAAUAAAUAAAUAAAUAAAAAAGAAAUGGAAUAUUAUUUGUCUGAAGUGAUUGGAAUUUAAUUAAAUUAUUUUGUAGGUCACUUUUGAAGUUUUUUUUUCCAUAAGGUCUUUAAAAACUUGAGGCAAUUAAAGCAGGCAACCUUAAAGGCUGCCAAGAAGCCUCUUUAAAACAGGUUGAGCUGGUUUUUCUCUAGCUUUUUAAACUAAGCAUGUUAAACCGUUAAAGCUAACCACAAAGAUUGUUGCUAAUUUAUUACAUGUUUUCAAGAUGAAAAGAAAUGUGGUCUCAGCCAGUUAUCUGGGGAUAAUCCAAGUUUGCAUCUAGCCUUGCUAUGUAUUUUUUUUCUUUGUACCUGUCUUUUGGUUACCAUGACAACUGAGAGGUCAUAGGGGAGAAAAGAUGUUUUGACUGCUGGAUUGAGGGCAGGAGGAAGAUUUGGGAGGGUUUAGAAACAUGAAGUGGCUGACUAGAUUCAGGUCAGGGAACAAUGAGAGCCAGGGGCUAUGUGGAUGUCUUUAUGCUGAGCAUUUCAUGCUAGCUGUAGAGAAGACAGGCCUGAUGCUAAGAAAUAGAUCACAAUGCAGAGUACACGAGUAAGGCUGGAGAACCCAAAGGCCAGUGGGGCAGAAAAGUUUUGUGUAAACACAGUGUCCCCCACUCUCACCCACUACAGAUUCUGUGCCGCUGUCCACAGAGUAUGAGUGCUGGAUCCAACCAGUCCAUCAGCCAGGCAUGGACUGGUGACCAACCCAUAUGUUCACCAGCCCCACUCCCUAUUGUCAGGGUGUCUUGAGUAGAAGAACACAACCACUUCAACAGGUGGCCUUAAUAGGUCCUGUCUGAAGGGCAGAAGCUAGCCGACUCCCCAGCUCAUGGAGCAGCCAAGGGGUAUUGGGAUACACAGUCUCCUAUGGUGACCCUGGGGAUAGAUACUGACAAUUGGCAAGCCAAAACUAACUUAGAAAAGGGCUGUUGUUGCCCAAGUUGGAACUGGCCAAAUUUGAAACAUGCUAGUAGUGACUGGGCCUUACACAGGAUGCCCUUCUAAGCAGUCUGUUGUGUCCAAUUCUGCUCUGGGAACAGCCACAUUCUGCCUUAGGAUCCAGCUGCCAGCCAUAAGCGGAAUUUUAGAACUGAUUCUGGUUUCUACCCAACACAGAUGCAGAACUACUCCCUCAUAUUUUUUUUUACUUUUUGAAUUUUAAAAAAUAUUUUCGUAUUUUAAAAAUAUGUUUUUAUGUGUUACUUUUUAUCUGUUGUAAUACUGACUUGAAGUAGGGAUAGGGCAACGUACUUGUCCCCCCACAUAAGAAUUGGAAAAUUUUACUGCUUAAAAUGGAUGAUGACUCAUUUGACCCUCAGGAACUGUUUCCUAAUGAAUCACUGACUUGAAUUAUGUCAUUUAUUUAUUCUGUCUCUCCUUUUGUGUUAGUUCCCUGGCCUCAUGUUGGUGAAAAGGGAGUUUGGUGAUGUGUAACCUUUAAAAAGUGCAUUUAUUACACAUUUCCCAGCACCAUGUAAUUUGAGCAUUGUGAUUCUGGCUUUUUAUUAUGUCUCUUUUGUGCUUAAUUUCAGUUUUUUUUUAUUCCUGAAUGUUCUGCAAUCUCUCUUUACUAAAUGCUUGAAUUACAAGUAUACGCAAAAAAAGCUGGCUUUUAUGACUUGCUAAGACAAGGAUGUUGUGUUCCGGAUUUAUAAUUAUAGCACUGGGGGAAAAUAUUUUAUUUCAAAAAGACUAAAUUAGUUCUACUUCAAAAGAGUUUCAGUUAAUUAAAUGUAGGAUGGUGAAAAGCCUAAAGGGUAGUCCUUGGAUCCUAUAGUACUUUUAUUUAACUAUUAAUUAGAUAUAUUUUCUUGUGCUCAUGGCCUUACCUAUUAAUACUUAGUUUUUAAAUAGUCAAACAAAAAUGGAUGUGCAUGUUGGGCUGCCUUUAUCGUGUUUCAUUGUUUCCUUUAGCUACAUUAUAGGCUAUUUAAAGUAAUUUCAUAUUUGCUGACACAGUAUUGAUCAUUCACAUUUAUGGCACAGUUCAUACACAAAUAUUUUGCAUCUUGGAGUAGCAACCUGGUCAUCUGUUCUCCUGCCCCCUCCCCUGCAAACUAUCUCCUUUCUCUCAUAACAGCUCUACUGGUUACAUAUUUCACAUGCUGUCUUUGAUAAAAAUUCAUUCAUUUACUUCCUAAACAUCUGAUAUGUCCAAGGCACAAUUGAAUUUAUUGAAAGAAAUGUAAAAAAUAACAUUACAUGAUAUUAUGUUUUCUAAUUUAAAAAAUGUUUAAUAGAUAGGGUCUUGCUCUGUUGCCCAGGCUGGAGUGCAGUGGUUCUAUCCUAGCUCACUGCAGUCUUGGACUCCUGAGCUCAAGUGAUCCUCCCACUUUAGCCUCCCAAAGUGCUGGAUUACAGGUGUAAGCCACUGUGCCCAGCCUUAAAGAAACUAUUUUUUACAAUGUAUGGUAGGUGGGAAGUAGUCAGGGAGGAGGUAGGAUUCAUUUGAGAUGAACCUAGAUGGGCAGGAUAUUGCCAGAAAAUUGAGACGGAAGGGAUUCUGUAUACAGAGAUGUGAUGUAGGUAGUUUAUCCUUGUUUCUCCCACCUUAUCCUCUCUUCAUUCAAAGCUUAUUCCUACCACAUCUCCUUAUUCUCUACCUGAAUGAAUAUAAGUUUCAUAAGGGUAGGGGUCUUUAAUCUAUGUUGUUCACUGAUGCAUACUCAGGACCAGUAAUGCCUGGCACAUGGUUGAUGCUUAAGUAUUUUGAGUUGUUGAAUUAAUAAACAUGUGAAUGAAAUGAUAAUUACCUGUAAGGUUUGGGGUCUCUAGCCUUCUAAAAUGUCAGUUAGCUCAUUAUUUCCCCUCAAACCUUAGCCAAUACAAUUUAUUAUCAAAUUUAAAAUUGUUUUAAUUUUAAUUCAUAUUUUAAAAAUUGUAGAUGAUGUUGCACACCAUACUAUAUGUCUUUCAGCCAUGCUUUUAGUUUUUUAUUGUUACUAACUUUCUGUUCAUGUCUUUCCCCAUUUUUAUGUUAGUAAUUUGUCUCACUGAUUUGUAAGUCCUCUUUAAAUAUUAAGGAAAUCAACUUUUGUCUGUCUUAUAUAUAGCAAAUAUUAUUUCCAGUUUGUUAUUUAUACUUUGACUUCGUUUAUUUUAUUACUUACUGUGUGUUAUUUUUAAUUUUUAUGAAGUCGUCUAUAUAAAUAUUUUAUUUUACUUUUUGAGUUUCUCCUUGAUUAUUUAAGAAUGAU